rnacentral:rRNA from 1 species
UACGUAGGGUGCAAGCGUUGUUCGGAAUCACUGGGCGUAAAGGGAGCGUAGGCGGGAUCGUAAGUUAGGAGUUUAAUACAUGGGCUCAACCCAUGAUCUGCUUUUAAUACUGCGGUUCUUGAGUAUGGGAGAGGGUGAUGGAAUUCCAGGUGUAGCGGUGGAAUGCGUAGAUAUCUGGAAGAACACCAGUAGCGAAGGCGGUCGCCUGGCCCAAUACUGACGCUGAUGCUCGAAAGUUGGGGGAGCAAACAGG